CUGGCAUUCAACAUUUCUAGCAGGUUUCCUGGUGACACUGCCUUUGCUGGUCCCAGGGUACACCUGCAGUAGCUUUUUAGUACUGAGCUUGGUACAUAGUUAGAAAACGAAACGAUAACAGUGAUGUGGCCUCAGAGUCUGCCCUGAACUCACCCAGAUACCAAACUCUCAGCAUAAAGGAAAUGUAUUACUUGGGAGGGGCAUGGAGUAGGGGUGUGUGCCUCUAGGUCAGGCAAAGACAGCAGCAGGUGUCUCUAAACAAGUGGCUUUUAAGGAGAAAAGGAGAAGUCUAUGCUAGCAUGAGUUGGCAGCUUUUGACUCUGUUUUGAGGAUGGAGGAAGACUGUGGACCUGGGCGAACAUGUGAACAUCUGUCGGCACAACCUACGUGGCACAGACUGAUAAAACAGAUUAUUUCUGGAACAUCGUUGAGCUCCACUCGUGGCAAUGCUGUCACUGAGAGAAACCAAAGAGUUGCUCUUGGCAUUCCUGCAGCUUCUUGCCAAUUCAGAGGCCUUGGCCAAUUGGGGAGUUUUGCAGUUUCUUCAGAAUUGAGCCACAGCUGCUGCUUCGUGCCUAGUGUCUGCCUGCCGAGAGGACUGCACCGUAGCUGCUGAGUCAUAUUUGGUGUUUGCUACAGAACUGAACUGUUGAUAAAGAAGACCAAGCUUGACCCAAAGAACUAUUGCUGACCAGGUCCAACUUCCCCCAUAUCCUAUUGACUUUUUUCUCCUACUACCUCUGCUGGGUGGUGGGCAAGAAAGGCUGAAUGUUUAUUAAAAGUAGGUUGCAAAAAAUGUAUGCCUGCAGUAAUUUUAAUGACUGCUGUGAUGACUGCUUUAGUUGUCAACUUAAGUACAUCUGGAAUUAACUAAAACCCCCAAAACAGUUGAGUACCCUGUGAGGGACUUGUGCUUAGUUGAAUUAUUUGUGGUGAGAUGACACACCCUUAAGCAGAUCUUGUGAAGUAGGAAGGCACACCAGUCUGGGCCACACCUUCUGCUGGCAGCCAAUAUAAAGGACAUGGAAGGAAGAAGUCUCUCUGCUUGCUUUUGCCCUCACUAGCAAGCCUACUCCUUCGCUGGCAUUAGAGCCUCUACUGGCUGGUUUUGUGUCAACUUGACACAGGCUGGAGCUAUCACAGAGAAAGAAGCCUCAGUUGAGGAAAUGCCUCCACACGAUCCAGUUGUAAUGCACUUUUUAAAUUAGUGAUCAAGGGGGGAAGGCCCAGCCCACUGUGGGUGGUGCCAUCCCUGGGCUGGUGGUCCUGGGUUCUAUGAGAAAGCAAGCUGAGAAAGGCAGGGGAAGCAAGUCAGUAAGCAGCAUUUCUCCAUGGCCUCUGCAUCAGCUCCUGCCUCCAGGUUCCUGUCCUGACAUCCAUUGGUGAUGAACAGCAAUAAAAAUUCAGUGUAAGCUGAAUAAACCCUUUCCUCACCAAUUGGCUUCUUAGUCAUGAUGUUUUAUGCAGGACUAUAAACCCUGAUUAAGACAAAUUGGUACUAGUAAAGUGGGGUAUUUCUGUGACAACCUGACCAUGUUUUGGGGAGGGAUGUGGAAGGACUUUGGAACUUUGGGAUAGAAGAGCCAUUGGAUGUUAAGAUGUAACGUCUGUGGGAUGUUCUGUAGGAGCUUGGAAGAUAGUGUUGAGAACAGUGCAAAUUAUGGAGGUCUGGCUUGUGAAAUUUCAGAGGGAAGAUUAAAGACUCUUAUCAGGACAAUUGCUAGUGUGAUUGUGAAGAUUCUGUGGUUUUGGUUAGAUGGGGCUGAAGAAUCAGUUGCGAUUAACAAGAUACUAGAACUACUAAAGCAAAGCCUUUGCAUUACUGGGACAAUUGAUGCUGGAUAGCUGGGGCUAAAUUAGCAGUGAUUAAAAAGAGACUGGCAUCACUAAGGUGAAAUCUUCCGGGAAGUGUUUCCUGAGAGCACAGAGAAGCUGUGUUCCAGAGGCAGCCAGUUGUACCUCCUGUUGAUAGCCAGACUUGGUAAUGUAUGAGAGUCACCGAGGUGGUACUGGUUUUGAAACAUGAAGGGGUAGCAGCUGAUACUUGGCACUGUGAGAGGCCAGGAGAGGCCAUUGGUGAAAGUGUAGCCUUUUGAAGGCCCAGGACUGAAGGGUUCAUGCAGAUAAGUUGAGGAUUAGCACCACGAAAAGAGCAAGAGCGUAUGAGAGGCUAUUUGUGAAAGUGCAGUCCAGGUGCAGCAGAAGACAGCAGUGUUUUGGAGAUACCAGUAUCAUGAUAUGACCACCAAGAACAGCAUAAGCAGUGGAGUACAGGCUGCUGGAGCCUAGAAGACAAGGUGUGUGCUACAGUGGGCAGAGCUGAGGAGUGACCCAAGCUUUUGGAGGAGUCCGGAAGAUCGUGAGUGGA